UGCGGUCCGGUCCCAGGUCGACGGGCACGUGCACCUUCCGCCGACCACUGGCGACAACAUCGAUGUACUGUGGAGACCUCACGCCCCACGUGUUGAGCAAUUCGGCGGUACGUCCACCCAGCCUCCCGCAUGCCCACAAUACGCCCUCGCUCAAAGUCCGUCAACUGCACAUACGGUUCACGUCCACGCUGUCGCGGCAUGCUACCAGUGUUAAAGACUGCGAUGGAGCUCCGUAUGCCACGGCAAACUGGCUGACACUGACGGCGGUGGUGCACAAAUGCUGCGCAGCUAGCGCCAUUCGACGGCCAACACCGCGGUUCCUGGUGUGUCCGCUGUGCCGUGCGUGUGAUCAUUGCUUGUACAGCCGUCUCGCAGUGUCCGGAGCAAGUAUGGUGGGUCUGACACACCGGUGUCAAUGUGUUCUUUUUUCCAUUUCCAGGAGUGUAAUUUAACGGCUUAGUCCCUAGAAAGAAAAGUUCCUAUUUUAGAAGGUAGAAGGCCGUAUCUUAAAACAUUUCAUAUGAAAGUUGGUUGAAGGGCCCUGUAAAGAAUAAAAAUCUCAUGCCUUAAGGGCAAGACAAGAAAUUUAAUUUAAGAGAUAGUAAUACUCGGCUGAAGGCCACAUACCGACAAAGUAUGUUUAACGGCUUAAUGCCUUUUAGGCAGAAAGCCGUACCUUAAAACAUCUCGCGUAAAAUUGGAAUAAAGGCCACAUAUAAAAAAAUAACAAACUCAUGCCUUAAGGGCAAGACAAGAACAUUAAUUGAGAGAUAUUGAUACUCGGCUGAAGGCCACAUAUUUAACCAAAUAACUAAAAACCCAAAGAGGGAAAUUACUAUGUAACACACAAGGAACGGCGCUCAGAAGUUUCCAAGGGUUGGCCUGGAAUUGUAAUGCUAACGCCCGUUUAGGUAAGACAGGCAGCCUGUGCAACAGCUUCUUAAUCUGACGGCAACGAAGCCGACAGACAGCCGACCGACCAAUAAACAAGAUCAGUUCCGCUCCAUGCAGCCAGCAAAACGAUCACAAGAUUUCAAUACUUUGACACACAGAAUACUGGCGCCCACAACGACCAAUAACACCGCAGCCGCCGAACUACACACUGUGCUAGACAGCAACAACACUGCCUAAAAUUACGUCAACGACCAGGACAGGUAACUGGAACGUCAAUGGCCACAAGGCAGAAGAUACCGCUCGUUAACUUCAAUAACAGUCCCCUAGAACUUAGAAAGACUUAAACCUAACUAACAGAAGGACACCACACACAUCCAUGCCCGAACCUGCAAACCGUAGCAGUCGCCUGAAGUGCCUAGAACCGCUCGGCCACCCCGGCCGGCGCAAAACAUAGCAGUUUCAACGGUCUGCAGUGACGUUGUCCAGUGUGAUGGUCACACUUUCUGUUCAUUCAUCUUGUUCCACAUUCUCCUGCUGUCCUAGUAUUCUGAAGUUUUCCUUUUGUAACGACAUUACAUAAGCUUCACGUAACCCUGUAGUUCCUUCACAUCUUUGGCCACUUCUUUUUGCUGUGAGUUAAUCUGAGAGAGAUUCCUCAGUACUUCAUUCAUUUCUCCCUGCUGCUGCUCCAGGUGAAUCAUCAUACACGAAAUUUGUGAUGCCUAUUCGCUCUUUCCCUUUAUCAAUGCCUUCUAGUGUUUUUGUAGCAUAGUAACAAAAUUUGUCAUUUGGCUAACCACAUUCGUCGCUCGUCUCAUGCGUUACAUGACUAUUAGAGCUUUUUUUUCUGUCUCCCAUAACCUGGAUACACGCUAGCCUAGCAUCUCUCUGUGCAUCUACUGCCUACUGCUUCCCUUCUGUUGCUCUCUGCUUGGUUUUAGACAUAUUUUCCGUGAGUACAGACAGAUUGCCUUUUAUGUCUUCCUCGAAUUUCUUUGUCAUUUCUUUACCUUAUUUACGCUCCUUUUCCCUUUUCUUUUAUACCCUUUGCAGUAUCUCUUGUGCAUUUUUUGUUUGAUUAUCCAUCCGUACAGUAUAUUCUCUAAUCAUACUGUUCCCUGUGCUCCCAUCUUUUGGCAGCUGUGUGGGAAGUGGAUAUGCACUAAUCCCAGAGUGCCGCUCUUGUGGCAAAACCGAUCUCGCAUGCUUUCAUUCGGUGGCCUUUUGUACAGGGUGUUUCCGUAAGAGGGUGCAAAAAUUUAACAGUACAGAAAAUAUGUUCCACUAAAGAAUUUCAGUUAACGGCAAAUACCAUCAGUGGCACGAUGAACGUGCCAUUUAUACUUUGUGUUACAAAAUGUGCUGAAAUUGCGGGCCAUCAACCUCACUCCAAGUAUAACAUCGGCGAACAAGAUUCUGACGCACCCUGACAAAGAUCGCUGGUGUCUUUCGGAUCACAUCACAGGCAGCUGGAACGCUGGCAACUAAUUCCUUCUCCGCAUCCACUUUAACGAAAUCGUCGAAAUGAAUGGAAUUGAUUUGAAAUUUCGUUAAAGAAGAAUAAUAAAUUUUAUCUUUUGCUUUUAA